UACGGAGGGGGCUAGCGUUGUUCGGAAUGACUGGGCGUAAAGCGCGCGUAGGCGGGCAUCUAAGUCGGGGGUGAAAUCCCGGGGCUCAACCCCGGAAUGGCCUUCGAGACUGGGUGCCUUGAGUUCGAGAGAGGUGGGUGGAAUUCCGAGUGUAGAGGUGAAAUUCGUAGAUAUUCGGAGGAACACCAGUGGCGAAGGCGGCCCACUGGCUCGACACUGACGCUGAGGUGCGAAAGCGUGGGGAGCAAACAGG
rnacentral:rRNA from 1 species